rnacentral:tRNA from 1 species
GGGGACUUAGCUCAGUUGGUAGAGCGCCUGCUUUGCAAGCAGGAGGUCACCGGUUCGAGACCGGUAGUCUCCA